AACCCUGUUAAUUAGACGGGGCUCUCUGGGAGCUGCCUUAAAUAUCUCUACUCAUUUAGAAGUCCAGGCCUACUUGGAAAGAAAGCUGGCCUUGUCUGCUUAUGCAGGUACAUUUGCUGUGGCUAUCUUGUUUAAUCUUUGCGACUUGGCUUUCCAUUUAGUUGCCAUGCUCUGACGCUAAGGGUAAUGGAGUUUAUCCCACAAAAAGACAGGAUAGAACCAGGCACACCUGACUCCGGGUCAGGUUCUCUACACUAAGGGGGAGGAGGCCGAUGAGAAGAUGAUUGCAGCCACUGAGCAAGAAAUAGACAGGGUGAAGCCUGACAUCAGUGGCCCCACAAACUGGGCCACUCCUGCUAUGGAGCUUUGAGCCUGGUACAGUCUGAGGUCUCCUCUGUCCCAACCUUUCUUUCAGAGCACUGAUAACAGCCUAGAGUGAGACUUGUCACUUUUGGUCUUGGCAUUAGAGACUGAAGAGCGCCAUGCCUAGGUCAUAGAGUGAUGAUCCAUCCUGUCCCAAGAGUGGGGAAUGGACAGUAUGGCUCUCUCUGGACCCAGAGUUUUUUUGUUAGCCUUGGGCUUUCACAGCCCCCAUUGCUGCCUUCCCUAAGCCACCCUCUUGUCUGUAACCCCAAAGCCUGCGUUCCCUAUCCUCUCUUCCCUCUGGGCCCCAGGCCAAGCCUCCACUGGCUUCCCUCUGCCAGCCUGUGAAUGUGUCUUUGUGUGGUGGCCCUGAUGUGAGGGCCUUCCUGGGAAGGUGUUAUUUUAAUAUAUGAAGGGCAGUCAUUGCGUUUCAUAAAGAUAGCUUGUUUGGAGGGGCCAGCAGGGGCCCAGGAGAGAUCACACUUGACAGAUAUAGGGACAGCCUGUGGUUUGGGGACUAGAAAUCACAGUACAAGCCUUUGCAGCCCAGUGCUGGGCACCAUGCCCCUGACAGCCAUCACUGGAAUGAGGCCUGCUGUCUGGGGUGGAGCUACACAGAGUCUGCCCUCCUUGCACUGGUGGGGGCAAUUACAAGUGAUACAACAUGUUAUCUAGAGAAAGCCAGAUGGGCACAGGACUCAGGCCUUCAUGCUUGCAGGAGCCAGGGGCAGGGUCUGUGCCAGCUCCAUUCUAGUCCCUCUCUCAUAACUAUGAACCUGAAGAAAUCUCCCCUCCAGGAGUCUCAAGAACCCUAGCAGAUCCCUUAGGGGCUUUCUGUCACUGUCAUUCCAAAAGACUUAACCCAGCCUCCCAGAGGGGCAUGUUGAAAAUAAAUGAGGAGUGAACUCUAUCUCCUGCCACCUUGGGCUCUACAGCCAACCCUGGGUGAUGAACGGGGUGACAGAGAUUGAACAGAGCUAGUUCCAGAACAGCCCUGGUUUGCUGCAGAGCAAAACACCUGGUCCUUGGGGAAGUGAGACUCAGAGGCGGCUGCACCAGCUCCUCCCUGACAAGGAACCUUUCUGUGCUCAGCAGGAAGGGAGGUGGGCAGGGACAGCCAGUCCCAGGGCACCUACUGCCAACCAUGAGGUUGUUGAACUUGGAGAUGUGUGUGCUGCUUGUUGCUCAGCAGAAAAGCCCACACACUGCUCAGCACUGCACAGAGCGACCAGACAUAAGGCUGUGCAUGUCAUAGUAGCUGCAAAUAAGGAAUAUGGCACGAUGAAUUUCCAAGUAGGGAGACAGUAGCCAAGUGGAUCAAUUUGACCAUUUGUACUUUCUGGCUCAUCUUCCACAUUUAGAGUGCAGGUCAAACUGGAAAAGUUUGUCUUUCUCCCUCUCCUAGACAGCCCCUUAGCAAGUGACAAGUCUAUCUUUAUGGAUGACAGAAGAGUGACAGAGCUGACUUCUGUAUAUCAAAAGACCCCUUUGAUAAAUACAUUGAAAUAGCUCAUCAUAUAGGAACCAAAGCUGGGUGGACUGGUGGGUGGACAGGCAGGAGGCCAGCAAUUCUGCAUUGGCUGAGCUCUUUCUCCUGAGUGUUGCUUAUGAGGAAUCUCAGUGGGUUUUGAUCCUGUCUGACUGUUUUCCUUCAGGGAGGGUAUGUCAUCUGAACUGCACCUGUGUCCUUAGGAGUCACUAUAGAACAUGUAUUCGUAGUUCAGCAGACUAGGAUGAGUGACACACCAUGAGCAACUCUGCACCCAUAUGCUUUGUUCCUGGCUUCUGCACCCUCCUGCUGAAAAUGCUCUGUGCUUUUUCAUGAUACUCUCUGAACAAUGCUCCCCUAGUGUUGAAGGACUCAAACACACACAACUGCAUCUGAAAACACAAGAAUAAUCAAAGCUAAGCACAAGCACAGUCUUUAGCCUGGGUAUCCAAAGACGAGUCAUCACCAAAAGAACACCCCAAAAUAUUUAACCUCAUUACCCAUAAGGGUGAAAUUUACCCACAAAUCCUGUGUCUUAGUUACUUUUCUAUUGAUGUGAUAAGAUAGCCGACCACGCCAAUUUAAAAAGAGGCUAUUGCGGGCUUGCAGUUUCAGAGGAUGAAAGUCCAUGACCAUCAUAGUAGGGAGCAUGACAGCAGGUGUACAGGCAUAACACUGGAGCAGUAGCUAAGACCUUACAUCUGAUCCACAAGCAAAGGUCAGAAAAGAGAACACAAGCUUUGGAAAUCUCAAAAGCCUGCCACAGUGCCAUACCUUUGCUAACAUGUUUACACCUCCUAAUCCUUCCCGAACAGUUCCACUGACUUGGGCUCGAGUAUUCAAAUAUAUAAGCCUAUGGAAGGUGUUCUCAACCAGACUACCAAGCACAUCAACAGUAAACUGGUUAAGUAGUUUGUGCUAUAUUAACUCAGGGAAAGAUAAGACUUCAGUUGCAUGCACUACUUAUAAAUCAAUCACUAAUAUAAUAAUGAAAGGUUUUUAAAAAUAUAAGAUAAAAUGCACAUUGUACAUUUCCAUUCAUAAGUUUGCAAGCAGGAAAAAUUGGCCAAUAGCUUUUGAUGUAGAAUAGUGCCCACCAUCUGGGGAAGGAGUUUGCUUCUGGAGUGCUCAUGGUCUGAACAUUGGUUUGAUAUCAUCAUGACUUCUACAUAUUUCCUAAGCAUGGCAGACAUCAAUAAGAUGUCUAAAAGACAGAGCCGAGAAAGAAGACACAUGUAGUGAAAUGACUGAGAGCUGUGAUUGCUCUUAGCCUGAAACAAAACAAGGUUACUAGUGAGCACUUGAUUGACUUCUGUUGUUUGUUUCCCGACACUGGCUUUAUUUCAUGGUGAUGUAUAACCAUAUAACCUGUUGGUCCUUAAAGACGUGAGUGGAUGGAAGACUUCGAUGUGCUACCUCUAUUCUGUCACCUUUAACCUCUCAAUGUGUGCUGAUCUCAAAGCCACCCGCCUUUCUUAUUCUGGGAGCUUUCUCUGUCUGCUGGAGGCAGAUAUGUAAAUGCUGCUGCAGACUGCAAGAGUCAGGGCAAGUAAGACUCCAGGUGAGGCCUCAAGCAAUGAUGAAGGGAAUUGGUGAGCAAGUGAGUUCUCCAGGUCUGUCUUAGGCUCAACCACUGAAGUAAAAUACUACAACCAAAAGAGAUUGGGAGGGAAAGUGCUUGUGUCAUCUUACAACAUUCAGGUCACAGUCCAUCACUGAGGGUAGCCAGGACAGGAACUCCAGCUAGAAACCUGGAGGCAGGAUCUGAGGCAGAAGCAAUGGAGGGGUACUGAUUAUUUGCUUGCUCCUCAUGACUUGCUCAGCCUGCUUUCUUAGGCAACUCAGGGCCACCUGCCUAGAAAUGGCGCCCUUAGUAGGCUUAGGCCCACCCACAAUUAUUACAUAGGGAGAAAACUCACUAUGCCUACAGGCAAUCUGAUAGGAGGCAUUUUCUCAAUUGAAGGUUCUUUUCGCAGAUAUGUCCAGGUUUGUGUCAAGUUGACAAAAAACAACCAGCACAGUGGGCCUGAAAUGUCAAAUCACUCUGAGGUUUGUUUGGGCUCACUUGAGUUGCUGGCAGCAGGGGUUGAGAGUCCACACUCCUGCUUCGCAUAGGAUGGUCUGAGAGUUAUAGACAUCUGCAAUUAGAAAGGGAAGGCAUGCUUUCCCCGUGGAGUCCACAUUACACUUCCCCCAUGAGCCCACUCCCUCUGCUGGCAGCCACAGGGCUCACUCCAAUAUGCUCAGAGUAUCCCCAAGGACUCUGCCCAGCUCUCACACCCCAGACACCUCCUGUCACCCUGCCUCAGCUACUCACCCUGGUCACAUUCUGUUCCCAUAUCCUACUCUAGUGUCCUUUAUGGGAUCUAUCAUCAUGGAACAAAGUCCAUGAUUAAGAAUAGCUGAAACUAAGAACCAGAAGAAAACGGUGCAGCAGCCUUGUGUCAGUGUAAUUUAGGGUUCUGAAUUGGAAACUGAUCUGUACUGCCUGACUUUCCACACAUAAAACUGUCCAUUUUCUUAUCAUACC
rnacentral:lncRNA from 1 species